GUAAAAGUCGUAACAAGGUUUCCGUAGGUGAACCUGCGGAAGGAUCAUUAUCGAGGGGGCUUGCCCCCGUCAAGAUACCACCCUUUGCCUUUGAGUACCUUCUGUUUCCUCGGCAGGCUCGCCUGCCAAUGGGGACCACAACCAAACCUUUUUGUAUCUGUAGUAAACGUUUUACAAAAUAAAAAAUCAAAACUUUCAACAACGGAUCUCUUGGUUCUGGCAUCGAUGAAGAACGCAGCGAAAUGCGAUAAGUAGUGUGAAUUGCAGAAUUCAGUGAAUCAUCGAAUCUUUGAACGCACAUUGCGCCCUUUGGUAUUCCUUAGGGCAUGCCUGUUCGAGCGUCAUCUAACCCUUCAAGCACUGCUUGGUGUUGGGCGUUUGUCCCGCCUUGGGCGCGGACUCGCCUCAAAGACAGGGGCGGCCUGUGUAUUGGCUUCGAGCGCAGCAGACUCGCGCGUCGACUCCUCUAGCACUAGGC
rnacentral:misc_RNA from 1 species